rnacentral:rRNA from 1 species
UACAGAGGUCUCAAGCGUUGUUCGGAUUCAUUGGGCGUAAAGGGUGCGUAGGCGGCGCGGUAAGUCGGGUGUGAAAUCUCGGAGCUUAACUCCGAAACUGCAUUCGAUACUGCCGUGCUUGAGGACUGGAGAGGAGACUGGAAUUUACGGUGUAGCGGUGAAAUGCGUAGAUAUCGUAAGGAAGACCAGUGCGAAGGCGGGUCUCUGGACAGUCCUGACGCUGAGGCACGAAGGUCAGGGAGCAAACGGG